UGGCUUUCUUGGCAGGUGGGGCAUCAUCGCCAUGAAGGGUGAGGCUCAACUCCUGCAUUCUGGGUCUGCUGCCUCCUCUGACUUCAGCAAAUGCAGGAAACUCAGCUGCAUAAUCUGUGGCAAUGGGGGACUGUUUUUAUGCUCUCUCCUA
rnacentral:snRNA from 15 species